rnacentral:rRNA from 1 species
AGGGCACCACCAGGAGUGGAGCCUGCGGCUUAAUUUGACUCAACACGGGAAAUCUCACCAGGCCCGGACACCGGUAGGAUUGACAGAUUGAGAGCUCUUUCUUGAUUCGGUGGGUGGUGGUGCAUGGCCGUUCUUAGUUGGUGGAGCGAUUUGUCUGGUUAAUUCCGAUAACGAACGAGACUCUGGCCUACUAACUAGACGUUAGAUCCCUUCGUGGGUCUAUCGCAGCUUCUUAGAGGGACGGGCGGCGUUUAGCCGCACGAGAUUGAGCAAUAACAGGUCUGUGAUGCCCUUAGAUGUUCUGGGCUGCACGCGCGCUACACUGAAGGAAUCAGCGUGUGUUCCCUACCCGAAAGGGUUGGGAAACCCGUUGAACCUCCUUCGUGAUGGGGAUUGGGGAUUGCAAUUAUUCCCCAUGAACGAGGAAUUCCCAGUAGGCGCGAGUCAUAAGCUCGCGUCGAUUACGUCCCUGCCCUUUGUACACACCGCCCGUCGCUACUACCGAUCGAGUUAUUUAGU